rnacentral:snoRNA from 1 species
UGUAUGUGUAAGAUGUUGACUAAAAUGCUUUGCUAUUUAUGGACAAGUGCAAAAAACAAAUCCUCUUUUGUAACCCAGAACUCACUGUUUAGUAUGAGCUUUGAAUAACACAAAAAGGAAUAUU